rnacentral:rRNA from 1 species
AACGCGAAGAACCUUACCUGGAUUUGACAUCCUCUGACAUCCGUAGAAAUACGGCUUUGUAGCAAUACACAGAGAGACAGGUGCUGCAUGGCUGUCGUCAGCUCGUGUUGUGAAAUGUUGGGUUAAGUCCCGCAACGAGCGCAACCCCUGGGGUUAGUUGCCAGCAUUAAGUUGGGCACUCUAAUCUGACUGCCAGCGUUAAGCUGGAGGAAGGUGGGGACGACGUCAAGUCCUCAUGGCCCUUACAUCCAGGGCUACACACGUAAUACAAUGAGCAGGACAAAGGGUUGCCAACCCGCGAGGGGGAGCUAAUCUCAAAAACCUGCUCUCAGUUGGGAUUGGAGGCUGCAAUUCGCCUCCAUGAACGCGGAAUCGCUAGUAAUCGUGGAUCAGAACGCCACGGUGAAUACGUUCCCGGGCCUUGUACCACCGCGAGC